UUAUUUAAUGGUGUUUUUAAUUUGUGUUGUAGAACUCCAGAGGACUUGGAUCUCAGCUAAAGGACAGUAUUCCAGUUACUGAACUUUCAGCAAGUGGGCCUUUUGAAAGUCAUGAUCUUCUUCGGAAAGGUUUUUCUUGUGUGAAAAAUGAACUUUUACCAAGUCAUCCUCUUGAAUUGUCA